UUUAGUUUUUCUUCUUAGUUUUAUAAAAAUUUUAUGUAGUUUUAUGUUACGUGGAGAGAGAGAGAGAGAGAGAGAGAGAGAGAGAGAGAGAGAUGUGGUGCAUUAUUUUGGUGAAAAAGGUGGGACUAGCUAGAGUUAGUUAGUUAUUGGACUAAUUGUUUUGCUACAUUGAGUAGAUCACUCUUUAGUGAAGUUUUGCAAUAGUUAAAAGUUGAAGCUUUGGUUUAAAAGAUUCAAAAUUUCAUUUCAGCUUCGAAUACGAAUAAAUUAGACAUCCAAUAUUAAUUGUUAUUCACCAAAAGUUUAUCUU
rnacentral:lncRNA from 1 species